AACGAACGCUGGCGGCAUGCCUAACACAUGCAAGUCGAACGAGACCUUCGGGUCUAGUGGCGCACGGGUGCGUAACGCGUGGGAACCUGCCCUUAGGUUCGGAAUAACUCCCCGAAAGGGGUGCUAAUACCGGAUAAUGUCUUCGGACCAAAGAGUUAUCGCCUUUGGAUGGGCCCGCGUUGGAUUAGCUAGUUGGUAGGGUAAAAGCCUACCAAGGCGACGAUCCAUAGCUGGUCUGAGAGGAUGAUCAGCCACACUGGGACUGAGACACGGCCCAGACUCCUACGGGAGGCAGCAGUGGGGAAUAUUGGACAGUGGGCGGAAGCCUGAUCCAGCAAUGCCGCGUGAGUGAUGAAGGCCUUAGGGUUGUAAAGCUCUUUUACCCGGGAUGAUAAUGACGGUACCGGGAGAAUAAGCUCCGGCUAACUCCGUG
rnacentral:rRNA from 1 species